CGUACUGACCCAGAAUUCUUGUUUAUAUUCUAGGAACAUUCACAUGGCUUUCAGAUUCAAGGAUUCAGCCAUUUAUACGCUAUCCAAGAACCACCGCGGGUUACAACACAUCGUUUCUCGAGUACAACCUUAUUCUCUUAUUGAAAUAGGUGUAUAUUGCUACCAUUCAUCUACUUCAUAAUAACACGGUGUACCGGAAGCGGAAAUAAUGAGUGUAUCGCGCGAUUGCAUAAUAGACGGUCAGCUGUUUCGCGAGGGAGAGUAAUGGCGGCGCCCGCCCACGAGGGUAUUUUGUGUUAAAAAGGGACCAAAGUGUUUUACCGAGUUAAAGUUUAAAUCCAAGGAUUAUUGUACGAAAAGAACUCGCGUUGGAAUAAAGUUUGGUGUAUACUCUCGUGUGAGGGGUGAUCCGGCGCACACGGACAGAUUUAAAGAUAACGGACCCCAACUACCACCCUUCUUAAAUAACCCAGGGCCGACACAAAGGAAGAGGCUGUAAAAGGUAACAUUGGGUUCCAGAGGUUCACGCACCGUUAAAGACCCCGAAAGGCGACAAGCGAAUGCUAAAGGGAGGUCGGGAGACGAGUUAAUGCCGACAAGAGGUCGAGCGGCGGCCUGCGCUUGUACCGCUCGGUCUAUUAUUUGGGGCCUGGGGGCGACAAGCCUCUGGGACCCAUGGCAGUGAAAGAGUAAAUGUGUGUCCAUUCUCUAUCAUCUUUUCUAAAAUAAAACAAGAUACGGUUCGA